rnacentral:rRNA from 1 species
GGGGGGAUAACAGUACAUGCAGUCGAACGCUUCUUUCCUCCCGAGUGCUUGCACUCAAUUGGAAAGAGGAGUGGCGGACGGGUGAGUAACACGUGGGUAACCUACCCAUCAGAGGGGGAUAACACUUGGAAACAGGUGCUAAUACCGCAUAACAGUUUAUGCCGCAUGGCAUAAGAGUGAAAGGCGCUUUCGGGUGUCGCUGAUGGAUGGACCCGCGGUGCAUUAGCUAGUUGGUGAGGUAACGGCUCACCAAGGCCACGAUGCAUAGCCGACCUGAGAGGGUGAUCGGCCACACUGGGACUGAGACACGGCCCAGACUCCUACGGGAGGCAGCAGUAGGGAAUCUUCGGCAAUGGACGAAAGUCUGACCGAGCAACGCCGCGUGAGUGAAGAAGGUUUUCGGAUCGUAAAACUCUGUUGUUAGAGAAGAACAAGGACGUUAGUAACUGAACGUCCCCUGACGGUAUCUAACCAGAAAGCCACGGCUAACUACGUGCCAGCAGCCGCGGUAAUACGUAGGUGGCAAGCGUUGUCCGGAUUUAUUGGGCGUAAAGCGAGCGCAGGCGGUUUCUUAAGUCUGAUGUGAAAGCCCCCGGCUCAACCGGGGAGGGUCAUUGGAAACUGGGAGACUUGAGUGCAGAAUAGGAGAGUGGAAUUCCAUGUGUAGCGGUGAAAUGCGUAGAUAUAUGGAGGAACACCAGUGGCGAAGGCGGCUCUCUGGUCUGUAACUGACGCUGAAGCUCGAAAGCGUGGGGAGCAAACAGGAUUAGAUACCCUGGUAGUCCACGCCGUAAACGAUGAGUGCUAAUGUUGGAGGGUUCCGCCCUUCAGUGCUGCACAAACGCAUUAAGCACUCCGCCUGGGGAGUACGACCGCAAGGUUGAACUCAAAGGAUUGACGGGGCCGCACAACGGUGGACAUGUGGUUUAUUCCAAGCACGCGAAGAACUUACCAGGCUUGACUCCUUGACCCUCUAAAAUAGACUUUCCUUCGGGACAAGUGACAGUGGUGCAGGGUAUCGUCACUCGUGCGUGAAUGUGGGUUAAUCCGCACGAGCGCACCUUAUUGUAGUGCCUCAUUAUUGGGCAUCUACGAGAUGCCGUGACAACCGAAGAAGUGGGAUGACUCAAUCACAUGCCCUUUGACUGGGUACACCUGCUCAUGGGAAUAAACAAUCCUUACCCCAGGCAGGAAUCUAAAGUCUUCAUUCGAUUAAGGGCACUCCCGCUAAACCGAACC